GGGCCCGUAGCUCAGCAGGAUAGAGCGCUGGCCUUCGGAGCCAGUGGUCGUGGGUUCGAAUCCCACCGGGCCCGCCA
rnacentral:tRNA from 1 species